rnacentral:rRNA from 1 species
UACGGAGGGUGCGAGCGUUGUCCGGAAUCACUGGGCGUAAAGGGCGCGUAGGCGGCCGCGUAAGUCACUUGUGAAAUCCCGGGGCUCAACUCCGGGGCUGCAGGUGAGACUGCGUGGCUAGAGCACGGUAGAGGCGAGUGGAAUUCCCGGUGUAGCGGUGGAAUGCGUAGAUAUCGGGAAGAACACCGGUGGCGAAGGCGGCUCGCUGGGCCGUUGCUGACGCUGAGGCGCGAAAGCAUGGGGAGCAAACAGG